rnacentral:rRNA from 1 species
UACGUAGGUGGCAAGCGUUGUCCGGAUUUACUGGGUGUAAAGGGCGUGUAGCCGGGCUGACAAGUCAGAUGUGAAAUUCCGGGGCUCAACCCCGGGACUGCAUUGGAAACUAUGUAACUAGAGUACCGGAGAGGUAAGCGGAAUUCCUAGUGUAGCGGUGAAAUGCGUAGAUAUUAGGAGGAACACCAGUGGCGAAGGCGGCUUACUGGACGGAAACUGACGUUGAGGCUCGAAAGCGUGGGGAGCAAACAGG